AGAACGAACGCUGGCGGCAUGCCUAACACAUGCAAGUCGAACGCUCUUGGGGCUUCGGUCUCAGGGGAGUGGCGCACGGGUGAGUAGCGCGUGGGAACCUGCCCUGUUGUGGGGGAUAACCGAGGGAAACUUCGGCUAAUACCGCAUAAGCCGGUUGUCUUGAAGGAGAUGGCCGGGAAAGAUUUAUCGCGACAGGAGGGGCCCGCGUCGGAUUAGCUAGUUGGUGGGGUAACGGCCCACCAAGGCGGUGAUCCGUAGCUGGUCUGAGAGGAUGAUCAGUCACACUGGGACUGAGACACGGCCCAGACUCCUACGGGAGGCAGCAGUGGGGAAUAUUGGACAAUGGGCGCAAGCCUGAUCCAGCAAUGCCGCGUGAGUGAUGAAGGCCUUAGGGUUGUAAAGCUCUUUCGCCCGCGACGAUGAUGACGGUAGCGGGAGAAGGAAGCCCCGGCUAACUUCGUGCCAGCAGCCGC
rnacentral:rRNA from 1 species